rnacentral:rRNA from 1 species
GACGAACGCUGGCGGCGUGCUUAACACAUGCAAGUCGAACGGAAAGGCCUGCUUUCCCUUGUGGAUUGCGGGUACUCGAGUGGCGAACGGGUGAGUAACACGUGAGUGAUCUGCCCCCAACUUGGGUAUAAGCCUGGGAAACUGGGUCUAAUUCCCGAUAGGACUGCAGGGUGGUGCCUGUGGUGGAAAACGAUUUUCUAGUGGUUGGGGAUGAGCUCGCGGCCUAUCAGCUUGUUGGUGGGGCAAUGGCCUACCAAGGCGGCGACGGGUAGCCGGCCUGAGAGGGUGGACGGCCACAUUGGGACUGAGAUACGGCCCAGACUCCUACGGGAGGCAGCAGUGGGGAAUAUUACACAAUGGGCGGAAGCCUGAUGCAGCGACGCCGCGUGGGGGAUGACGGCCUUCGGGUUGUAAACUCCUUUCGACCGCGAGGAAGCCACCUGGUUGGAAGGGUGGUGACGGUAGUGGUAGAAGAAGCACCGGCUAACUACGUG